GUUUGCAAUUGUGGCAUCAUUUAAAUUUUACCCAAUAUUUGCUGCUAUAAGACAUUCUACACCAAUAAUCGGUCCUGUUGUUGGAUUUUUACAUUGUGGAUACCUGAUGUCAGAAACUCUCUUUGAGUUAAUUCAAAGUAAAAAAGACGAAGAUAAUGAAAAUGAACAGAUCGAAAUAAAAGUCACAGCAUACUUAAUACUUAUUAAUGUUCCGAUACUGGUAUGCUUUACCAUUCUUAUAAGUUAUUUCUUGUAUAAAGGAACUAUGGAUACUGUCAA